GAUGAACGCUGGCGGCGUGCCUAAUACAUGCAAGUCGAGCGAACGGACGAGAAGCUUGCUUCUCUGAUGUUAGCGGCGGACGGGUGAGUAACACGUGGAUAACCUACCUACAAGACUGGGAUAACUUCGGGAAACCGGAGCUAAUACCGGAUAAUAUUUUGAACCGCAUGGUUCAAAAGUGAAAGACGGUCUUGCUGUCACUUAUAGAUGGAUCCGCGCUGCAUUAGCUAGUUGGUAAGGUAACGGCUUACCAAGGCAACGAUGCAUAGCCGACCUGAGAGGGUGAUCGGCCACACUGGAACUGAGACACGGUCCCGACUCCUACGGGAGGCAGCAGUAGGGAAUCUUCCGCAAUGGGCGAAAGCCUAACGGAGCAACGCCGCGUGAGUGAUGAAGGUCUUCGGAUCGUAAAACUCUGUUAUUAGGGAAGAACAUAUGUGUAAGUAACUGUGCACAUCUUGACGGUACCUAAUCAGAAAGCCACGGUUAACUACGUG
rnacentral:rRNA from 1 species